UACGUAGGCAGCGAGCGUUGUUCGGAAUUACUGGGCGUAAAGAGUGUGUAGGCGGUGCUCUAAGUUCGGUGUGAAAUCUCCUGGCUCAACUGGGAGGGUGCGCCGGAAACUGGAGUGCUUGAGCGUGGGAGAGGAAAGCGGAAUUCCUGGUGUAGCGGUGAAAUGCGCAGAUAUCAGGAGGAACACCAAUGGCGAAGGCAGCUCGCUGGGACGGUACUGACGCUGAGACGCGAAAGCGUGGGGAGCAAACAGG
rnacentral:rRNA from 1 species